GUGAUGAUUUUUUCAGUCUAGGAAUUCAAGAGAAUACAUUUUAUUAGUUUGAUCAGUGGCAAGACACCAUGACAACCAGACCAAGGCUCCUCCGGCUGUUGUGGCUUCAGAAAGCUGUGUUUUACUGUCAAGUGUAUUGCCCGAGUGCACUCGCAAGAUGGCAGCACAGUUUUCCCAAGUCAGAUGUCGCAGGCGUGUCCUCGCUCUGCACGUGAAGGAGCAGGGUUUCAACAAAAUACGUGGAUCUAGCAUAUUAAAGAUCAGCAAAGCCUAUGUCUUCCAAACGCCACUCUGAACAUUACUGGUUUUCACUGGCCUGCUGUGAAAUGAGAAAAAUAAUGACAAUGUGGGCGAGAAGGGUGAGAGGCUUAAUUGCUGGAACUGCAGUGCUGUGUAAGUGCUCCUGUCCCAUCGUGCUGCAUCCUCGGAGCUUUCCCUCACAAAGGCUGCUCAGCAGGUCCUGCAAUAGCUGGUGGGAAACCACGAGGAGGGAUGCUCCAACUUACCAAGUAUUUCCCUGGGAGUUCCUAAUUUCAAUGAGAAGAAUAUUCUCUAAUUAAAAUGCCGCUGCAGAAUCUUUUUUAAAACAAAUUGCCAUCUAAUUUCCCUUUGAUCUUUUUUUUUUCCACUUGGGUUGCAAGGUUUUAAGAAUUUUCCCCAAACACUUUGAGUCUACAGUAAUUUUAUUUCAUUCUAAUUAAACUUCAAAGGACAAAAUGCCAAGCCACCAGAAAAAGCUAAGCUUUUUUCUGCUUCACUGAUGCAAGAAGCAUUUUCGGGACAUCUACUCUGUGCCUGACAUUGUGCUGGGUGUUGGAGAGACAAAGAUGGAUAAAUACGACUCGGUCCUUGCGCUUGCUGGGUCCACUGUUUCCAGGACACCAUCAAGCCAUAAACAGAACAUCAUAAUGCAAUGUGGUGACCACAGAAACACCAUCACACAGCCAUUUUAUAUAGGGCUUUGUGGGAGCAAAAUGGCAGCCCUGGCUGAGCUGACACUUUAAAUGAAAUUUAAAGGAUGACUACAAUUUAGCCAAAUGAGAGCAUGAAGGACACGCCAGUCAGAGGAGACAACAUAAGCUCAGGUCCGGGGGUGGGAAAUGGCAUUGAUGUGGAUCAAGGCUGCCCCAGGGAGAGAAGCCCAAGGCGUCCCAGCCUACAUGCCGAUUUAUAUCAUCCUCCAGGAAACAUAGGAUAUCCUGACCUGAUCCAACCUGACUCAUAUCCAGAGUUAUACGACCACUCGAUAACCAGACCCCACCUGCAUUGAUACCAUGUUAACAACUUUUUUACAUGAUCUUUCCUUUGUCUUGUAAAGAAGUAACUCACAUACCUCUGCUUUAUAAAUUUAGCCCUACCCUCAACCCAUUGCAGCUCUUCACUGCCCAUGGGUCCUGUCCCCAUGCUAUUCUCUGAAUAAAAAAGCACUACUACCAGACUUGAGAGUUCA
rnacentral:lncRNA from 1 species